AGCCCAGCAACUCCUAUCCCUACCUCCUCGUGAUACUGGCCGGGGUACGAGUAACCUUAGGGAAGA
rnacentral:ribozyme from 1 species